GCAGGGGAAGCCCAGGGCGACGGGGGGCGGCGCCACCCCAGAAAGCGAGGCAAUCGCGGCAGCUAAGGCAGGUCUCCAGCUCCUGGACCCUCCUCCUUCAGCCAGCGGCUGCGAACACCAGAGCUCCUCCGGCGUCGGAACAGUGAGAGAUGGAGGCACAGAGAGCCUCUUAAAACGCUUGUCGGGGAGGUGCCAUGUACCACUUCUGCACCAACAUUUGCAAGAACUACACACCUAGAUGCAAGGAGACUGGGAAACAAUACCUGUCCAAGUUCCCAGGAAUUCAGCUGACAUUCAAAUAGGCAUAAGCCUGAAAAAUCACAUGUAAUGUGGUCCUUGACCAGUAUGUGGGGAUGUGUCCAUGCCUUUGAAAUUACAGUGUAAGUGCUCCAGUUACCACACUUUCUAAACAGAGAAAGUGCUCAAAACACCCUGGGGUUUUAUUUUGUGUGUCUGUGACAGCAAAGAAUAAAAACUGUUAAACAAAA